rnacentral:rRNA from 1 species
AGUGAACGCUGGCGGUAGGCCUAACACAUGCAAGUCGAACGGCAGCACAGUAAGAGCUUGCUCUUACGGGUGGCGAGUGGCGGACGGGUGAGGAAUACAUCGGAAUCUACUUUUUCGUGGGGGAUAACGUAGGGAAACUUACGCUAAUACCGCAUACGACCUACGGGUGAAAGCAGGGGAUCUUCGGACCUUGCGCGAGUGAAUGAGCCGAUGUCGGAUUAGCUAGUUGGCGGGGUAAAGGCCCACCAAGGCGACGAUCCGUAGCUGGUCUGAGAGGAUGAUCAGCCACACUGGAACUGAGACACGGUCCAGACUCCUACGGGAGGCAGCAGUGGGGAAUAUUGGACAAUGGGCGCAAGCCUGAUCCAGCCAUACCGCGUGGGUGAAGAAGGCCUUCGGGUUGUAAAGCCCUUUUGUUGGGAAAGAAAAGCAGCAGGUUAAUACCACGCUGUUCUGACGGUACCCAAAGAAUAAGCACCGGCUAACUUCGUG